rnacentral:rRNA from 1 species
GACGAACGCUGGCGGCGUGCUUAACACAUGCAAGUCGAACGGAGUUACGUAUGAAGUAUUUCGGUACGGACUAUGUAACUUAGUGGCGAACGGGUGAGUAACACGUGGGCAACCUGCCCUUAACCGGGGGAUAACAUUGUGAAAACAGUGCUAAUACCGCAUAACAGAGUAUCGGGCAUCCGAUAUUUUUAAAAGGUAGCAAUCCGGUUUUGGUAUGGGCCCGCGUCCAAUUAGCUAGUUGGUGAGGUAACGGCGGUCACCAAGGCUACGAUUGGUAGCCGAACUGAGAGGUUGAUCGGCCACAUUGGGACUGAGACACGGCCCAGACUCCUACGGGAGGCAGCAGUGGGGAAGUAUUGGGCAAUGGGCGAAAGCCUGACCCAGCGACGCCGCGUGAAGGAUGAAGGUCUUCGGAUUGUAAACUUCUUUGAUCAGGGAAGAAAGAAAUGACGGUACCUGAAGAACAAGCCACGGCUAACUACGUG